AUCCUGCUCAAAGUCCACAGGCCCCAUUCUCAAGCUUUAUUUUUGCCAUUUUCCACACCGUUCUCUCACCCCGCCCCCCGUUCAGCCCUACGGGAUUGUAUUUCCACUGCAAGACCCCUCCGUGCCUGGCCCAGAAACCCCCACCCCAGGUCCCCCCCUCCCUGUUUGCCCUGCACACAUCCCACUAAACAUUAACUCCUGCGGGUCAAACCACCACCCCCAGCUCUGCCCUUGUGCUCCCGAGCUCUGAUCCACGGGGAGGGACUUUCAGCCCAUCCUUGCGACGAUCCCCUUAAACUUCUCCAUCGUUUCUCCACCGAGAUAAGAGCCGUCAGGAACCGCCUUCUUCUUUCCAUUCCGUUCGGUUGGCAGCUAAGAGGAACGUUCUCCAGUUGCUGGAAUGCUUCGUGCAAGCCUUGCUUGCUCCUCUCCUCUCGGUUACCUUUGGACAUGGAGGUGCUGAGCUCUGAGCUGCUGCUUCUGCACUCUGCUCUGCUCCUUCCCACCACCAUUUCACCAUCAGUCUGCGCUCAGCCCCACCUGCCCUGUGCCCACAGCACCCCCCCAUCCCAUGCCAUGAGCUGCUGAGGGCUGUGGGGCCGAUGGGAGCAGCUCACAGCUGCUGCAGCUCUCUGCAGAGGGCAGAUGUGGCAAAAGCAGAUCUGACUGCGAGACGUCUCCUCCUCCCACAUCCCCGAAUAUUUCGUUCGGUGAGCUGAAUCACCCCCAUCCAACCACUAAAAAUAGUGGCUUUUCCAUUACUUGCAACGGAACGGUGCAACCUCUCCAUUCCCCGCUUCUCCUAUUUCCAGAUAGGCAUAAAAAAGCCCCCCCAAAAACUCCCAGAGGCGGCCAAGAACAGUGCAGAUGUGGCCCGUGGGGACACAGUGGGGUGGGUUGGUGCUCUCUGAGGUCCUCCCCAUCCUUUGUGGCUCUGUGCAGCCUGAGCCGAUGCCAUCCCGAAGCUCCAUAAGGAAUGCUGUGCAUGGGCUCCCGAAGUCACCCCAGCAACUGCAACAGCAGCUCCAAACGCUGUCACUUUUGCCCACGCUGCGCUCUCAGCCCUUUUGGGAAGUCACUGCGUCACGUCCCACAACACCCAGGGAAGUGCCAGCUCUUAUUUCAAGCUUUUCUUUCGGCAAAUCUGGUUUCUAGAUGUUAUGCCUGUGCUCUGUUCCAUUUUCAGCACAGGCAGCUCAGGCUUUUUCUUCUUUCCUUCGCUUCUUAAUUUCACUCGUGACCCUAAGUUACCUCCUUUUUUAACCUGUGUAAUUAGCAAGUCCUUAAAACACUCGGCUUCAUUAACAGAACACGGAUUACAUAAAUUAGACGCAUUCUUUAGCACAACUCCACUUGCCUACCAAAAACUCCAUCGCCACAAUGAAGAACAGUGGAGGAGUGGCACCCGGGGGCAGUCGGUGGGCACUGUGGGGUGGGUUUGGUCAUCUUAGAGGUCUUUUCCAGUCCUAAUGAUGCUGUGAUUCUAAGAUCCAACUUCCCCGAACACAACUGAAAGGAGAAGGCUGGCACUGCUGCUUCCAAGCCCACCUGCACAAUGCUUGCUUACGGCUUCCCCAUUUCCUAUCAGGGCUCGCUCCCAAUUCCCUCUGCUGCUGCUCUGCAGCCAUUUGCCAAGCAGCCCCAAGUUGGGGAGCUGCCCCCAAGAGCUGCUGUGGGUCUCACACCUCUCAGCUGUGCCUCCAGCACAGCCCUCUGCUGUCUGCAGUCGCUGUGCAAAGAGGGCUCAGCACUGUGCUGGCACCGUCCUCAGCUGAGCAUCCUCAGAGCAUGGCUGUCACCCAAAGCCACCCCCUGCACACAGGCAGGGAGUUAAGAACGCUGUACUGAAGGCAAAGCAGAGGUGUAAGAGCACAUUAAGCCGUUUUCUGGAUGUGGAAAUAGAUCAAUAUAACUACAGCAAAGUUAUUAUUACCACCGUAGCCACGCGAGUGUAACUCCCUCCAUAAUUCUGUGACAGCCACUUCUAUUUCAGGUCAAGUGUGCAAAUGCAGAACUUGCAACACCCUACCGAGAAUAUUAACUGUUACAAAGACCAAGUCCUAAAGAGAGAAUACCUGAAGGUACAGGGACGGGGCGGGGAGGGGGGGAAAGCCCCACGCUUGUCUCCAGUUCCUUUAAUCACAGCACAUUAGCCAAAUGUGAUACACGGGAUCCAGCCUUUAGGUGGGGAGCGUGUUUUGCAGUGGCUCUCCUAACUCUUCAGGAGCUCUAACUCGACUUUCUGCACUGCUCUCCGAGCAAAAGGAAUCAUGCAAACAUCAUGCAAAGAACACACGCUUUGAGCACAGCGCGGGAGAGGUGGUGCAGCCUGGAGAAGGACUAUAAAAAAAGCCCUCGGUGGUGUGUGGGAAGGCUUAGGGGAAUAUUUCAGCACAUCAGGAGCUGAAUCACUGCAUGUAGGUGGAGCCAGACAGAUUGACAAGAUCUGCAACUUGAAAAAUGACCUAAGCCUGAGAUCAAUCAUCUCGCAAAGUCGCUGACGGAGGGGAACAACAGAUGGAUGUGGAUGGAGCAGCACAUCAGGAAGGCACGCUGGGGGAAGCCGUGAGCAGACGUCUCGUUGCCAUGCAUGGGAUUAAUGAAGGAUGCAGCUUCCAGGUAAUGACUGGGAGAAGUCGUGGAGCAGCACUUGAUGCAAAGCUAGGAAUUUAUUGCACAUCAGAUAAAAGCACGAAAAAUAAACGAUUGUAAACCAAGCUUUCAAGUUUUACAGCCCUUCAGAUCAUUGCAUCGCAGUCAAAUCUGCUUCACGGGCUGAUCCAGGACAUAAAACUGUACUCAAAUUACAAGCAAACCCGAGUAAUAACUUCCUAAUUUCCUUCAGAAAGCCCAAACUCGGGGCCUAUUCAUCGCAAGAGCUGUACUUUGUCCAUGCAAAUGCACACAGCUCUCCUCAGCUGAGCAGUUCCUGAGCUCUGCCACUAGAGACAAACCACCACCAGGUCACUCCCUGCCCUACUAUUCCAGUUCUGCACCAUCUCGAAGCAUUUCCCUUUGUGACCCCGCGAGGUACCAAGAACGCACUCAACAUUAAGAGAUUAACUGAAUGGAUUCAAUGAUGGCUUGCCUUGUUUGGUAAAUAAAACUUAUUAGCAGCCGUUGGCACUGGGUCUGUGUCAUCAAUACUCAAUGACAAAGCCAGCCCGUAACCCUGGCAAUCAUUUCUAAUGCCAUUUGGCAGGUCACGCUGGAGUUCAAAAUGUUAUGGCUGCAGAUCAGCCCUCAGCAGACACUGCUCUGUGCUGCUCUCACACGCAGCAGCUGGCCAUGGGGUUAAACAAAAGGGCAAUGCUCUGCCCUCAUUAGUUCAAGGCAGCACGGCUGAUCUCUGAUCAUCCGAGGGCAAACCUGAGCUUUUCGCUCGCUGCAUCCAACCCAGGGUGUGAUAUUCUGGCUUACAGCAGGGAGCUGUGGUGCAUAUCGUGGCUCUGAUAAGUCUGUGUGGUGUGUGACAGCAGCUAUGAACAUGCACUUCAUUGGAUAGGGGGUAACUGCACCUUAUGGACAGGGUGUGAGCCAAAGAUUUGCAUGGGCGCCCUGACUCCUGGAGUUUGGUCUUACAUUUGGGAUUGCAUGCAUACAAACAGGGCUGACUGGAGAGUUAACCCUAAAAACCUGACCUUCCCUUCAUCCCACCCUCUCUCCUCACGUUAUCCUACCUUCUCUUUGAGCAUCAGGCUACGUGGAAUGGGCUCUCUUUAAAGCAAGACCAAUAGGACGUGCCUCAGGUGCUUGGAGAUGGGCCGUCCUUCCCUAUGUUCUGCUCUACCACCUCCUGCAAAGUAGUAAAGAGUGGGAGUGAAUUACAGAAACGAAUAGAGGAAGCAGCAAGGCUCAGCCAGAAGGAAGCUGAGCACGUAGGAAAGAUGGGGAGGGCCCUUUUUGCAGCCAGGCACCAAAGGACCAGCAGCAAAACUCAGCUGACCAAGGAAACUUUAUCAGCACGGCACACUGCCUCUCCCCUCUGCUCCUCACACUGCUGUCAGCCUGGGAGAGAUUAGCUUUCAGCAAGACAGCUGCAAAAUGCAUGCAAUGUUUUGUUCCCUUUCACCUUCAUUUACACUCCCAUUCAGCGUUUCCUCCGCUUACAGAAAGGAGCAGGACAGCCUGCCAGAGCUAUAGAGAAGCAGAAUUACCUCCACCAGCAGCUGAUAAACUGCCACUGCUGGAAAGCUUCCAUUCAGCAGCCUGCUUGGCACAAAGCAAACGCUUUCAGCUCCCACUGCAACCCAAACGUGCCUCGCCUGAUAGAAGCACGUGUUUCUCAUUUGCCAAGUUCAUUCCAGCUCCUCCCCUCGCCCAGGAAGCAGAACAAGAGGGUGCAUUUAUCAGUGAAUUCUCACAUUAAACCUUUUUGCUGCGGUCUCAUUGCUAGGAAGCCAUGGGAGAGGUGGAACAAAAGGCUCCACGUGCUGGGUUCAGCAUGCCCACAGCAGCAGCCCAGCUGUGCCUCUCACGCCUGUUUUCUCUUCCUAAUACACUCGGUUUACAAGCAAGUAAACUCCUCCCUUCUCUUGCUCAACAGGCAGCCCAGCAAGUUGGGCUUCAGAUGGGAGCUGGCUUUCUCUGGGGCACAGCCACCUCCAAGAGCCCUGCAGGCUUAAACUGCACCAAGAUCUGUGCAAAUUGCUGAUUUCACUGCAGAACUAUAAAGCCUCUCCUCCGAGCAGUGCCCCCCACCACCGAGCAGGCUGCUGCUUCCAGGUGGGACGUGAAGCAUCACAAGGAGCCCAGGACAGGGCUGGUUUGGCUUUUGUGAGCUCAGCCAAAGAUGCACGACUGCAGCUGCACUUCCCACUGAAGAUGACCACUUACAAAGCUUGGUGCCAUCCUUUCAGAUGACCAAAGCAGCCUAUCAGUGCAAACACCACGCAGGACAAACCUAAGCCUGAUACAUUUUGCCUGAAUUCCAUUCUAUUACUUUGCUUACGUGGUUUUCUUUACUUAUUCACUGCUUCAAAAGAUACGCCUCGAUAACGACGCUCUCUCCAUCUUGGGGAUAUACAGAAUGAAGGCAGGUCAAUGUGUGCCCCUCCAUCACGUCCACGGCAGCAGGCUGCAAUGAGAAACUCCGUGAUCAGAGCAGCAACGUGAGAAAGACAGAGAGCUCCUUUCCAAGGAACGUUUAUCUACUCACCCAUCUCAGCAAGCAGGUAACGUUAAUCUAAGUUCCUUUGGGUGUCCUGUCCUCCUUUUCUGGUACUCUGAGCAAUCAGCUCCCUCCGUGUGAAUGCAGACAUAGGUAGGCUUUUGAUUUGAUGCAGGAACUGACAGCAAUUUGAACUUCUUGGUUCAUUCUUCUUAAUCUCCGGUGCACCAAAGCAGUACUGUCAGCUCCUCGGUGUUGUGGUGCUACGUAUGCUUAGCGUGGAUUUUCAUUUAAAUAAAAGCAAGCAGAGGCAUUGCUAGAUAUCAAAAGUUUACAGAAAAAACACCAAAAUGGCAUCAGAAUGUGGUCGCUGCUGUCAUAGGAACCCCUCCAGGGCGGGCUAUGGACUUCUAGAGCUAAAAUCCAGCCUAAAACACAGCACACCUCAGGAUGCAGGACUCAGCAGCUUUCCACAACGUCACCCUUAUCCUCCUCUUAUGGACCUCAAACACAGAGAUCCAAACCUGAGCACAGAGCCCACCACGAACAUGUGAACAUCUCCCUGCCCACACAACUGGAAUACAGCACACGACCUCCAAGCAGGGGCUCGAGGGAGGAGAGAAGAGCCUCCACUUUGUGAGAAACAUUUAAUUCAACACAAUGAAUUACAAGAGGACAGGUUUACAGAAUAAUAACCGUAACAGACUGUUUAAAAAGGAAAAUCAUCUUCACUGGCUGCAGUAGAAGGCAAAGACCCCCCAAGGCAAUACCUGGUACAGCAGCAGCAAAGUACAACUUCAGUCUCCUUGCAGUACUCCAAAUGAGCAA